rnacentral:rRNA from 1 species
CGGGGGGAGCAAGCGUUGUUCGGAUUUACUGGGCGUAAAGGGCGCGUAGGCGGCCACUGCAAGUCGGUUGUGAAAUCUCCGGGCUUAACCCGGAAAGGUCAACCGAUACUGCAGGGCUAGAGUGCAGAAGGGGCAACUGGAAUUCUCGGUGUAGCGGUGAAAUGCGUAGAUAUCGGGAGGAACACCUGCGGCGAAGGCGGGUUGCUGGGCUGACACUGACGCUGAUGCGCGAAAGCUAGGGGAGCGAACGGGAUUAGGUACCCCGGUAGUCCUAGCCUUAAACGAUGAAUGCUUGGUGUCUGGGGUUUUAUAGUCCCCGGGUGCCGUCGCUAACGCUUUAAGCAUUCCGCCUGGGGAGUACGGUCGCAAGACUG